rnacentral:rRNA from 1 species
UGGUGGAGUGAUUUGUCUGGUUAAUUCCGAUAACGAACGAGACCUUAACCUAUUAACUAGCGACGCUGCAAGUUCAUCCUUGCUGCGUUGUCUUCUUAGAGGGACUUUGUGCGCUAUAGCUCAAGGCAGUAUUAGGCAAUAACA